CACUAAGCUGGGCUGGAAAGCAAGCAGGUUUGAAUGAUCAGAGAAUAGACAGAUGCUUUCUAAAGUGCUGGAGAUCAAAAUAACAGCCACAAAUUUCUGGUCCUGUGAACCUGACCUUUAGACCAGUACUGUAUUUCUGACCCAGACCUGCCCAGAACCCAGCAAAAUAAGGUUAUACUUUCUGCCUGGUCUUUCAGAAUAAUAAUUAACAGUAGUGCUCUGAUCUCUUUGAACUAUUUUAAUGAGGAAAUGCCAAAGUAGGUGUGAACUAUGGAAUCUCUGAACGGGAGCACCUGGCAAAGGUCACCUUUAAAUUGAAGCACAAACCUAUUCCUUUGGGUUAAGUUGGUGCUUUGGUCUUACUGCAGAAGUUGGCACACCUGGGCUGCUGGCCGUGUUACCCAGGACUCACCUCCUUGCGAUUCUUUCUGGUGAGGCUCUGCCAUGCUUGAACCAGGGCAUCCUUUCUCUUGGCAGCCCUGCUGGUGCCGAUCCAUUGGGGCUCUGAACAUCAGAAUGGCACUGGGCCUCCAUGAAGUUCCUUAAGGAGGACAACAGAGGAAUGUUGGAUCCUAUGUGGCUGAUGUGUGGAUGUGAUAUUCAGGUGCAGUGCCAUCCAUUUCCAAGCUUAUCAUAAAUCUUGAUAUAUUUUCACUCUGAUAAUUUGGCAGGCUGCUUGGAGCGGGGGAGGAGCUUCUUGGCAGAGCAGCUGAAUGGCAGCCAAAGAAGGGUACAAGACAAUCUGAACAGUGUUCAGCACGAACAUUUUGCAAUACUCCCCUCUAAUAAUUGGGGUGGUCUCACUUUUGCUCUUCUACACAUCUGUCACCCAACUCUAAUCUGAAAGUUUGGGCUUCUGGCUUUCAUGUCAGUGAUAUCAAAUGGAGCUGAAUGCUGAAAAUGAACUUCAACAAUCCAGAACAAGGCCAAGAAAGUCUGUAGUGCAGAAAGAAGUUCAGGAUACCCAUGCUAGUGCUGGUACACACUCAUGCCCACUUCACAGCACACUUUGGUGCUUUACUGACAUAAAUCCCAGUUGCUCUAAUGACAAAAGUCAGCAGACGAGGGUACCGUGCUUCAAGCUAGCACAUCCUUAUGGACAAAGAUGAGCCAUGGUAAUGUGGAAAUGCAAGUUGCUGUUCUGUCCAUUGCGACCUUUCUUAUACUUUAAGAAACUUAUUUUGUAAAUACUGAUUUAUUUCAAAGAAAACAUUCAAACUUUACAGUUAUUAUUCUAUUUAUGUGCUGGACAAAGAGUGUCAAUUAGAAGGACUGCUGCCACAGUUCAACAAAAUGUGGAUAUGCAGAAUUUACCACAAAAAUCCAACUUUUCAGCAACUAUUCAUGAACUGAAUAAGGAAGAUGCUAAUAGUAGCUUGUUAACUUGUGAAAACCCUUCAUGUGCAUCUAUGGAGUGGCUAGCAAAUGGAGUGCAAAGUCUGCUGGAGUGGCAAAGUUAGGGACUUAGGCAGAACCUUGCGAUCAGUGUUUCGGUCCCUCUGUCCCUUAAGGCUGCCCUGGUAGCCAUGACAAAGGCAAGGGAACUUGCAAACACUUUCCUCGUUCUUUCCUGAUCUUCUUUCUGCUGGGUUUCCUCUGUUCCUCCUCCCUUCCCUCAUACACAUCCCAUUCAUCUUUGUUUUUUCAGCAGAACUGGCUGAAAUCUUUCUUUGCUGCGGAUUCAGAGUUUGCUCCUGGGUUAUUUCUGAUCUGUUCUUCAUUUCUUCAAACGCGCUUUGCUGCCUCGUGUUGGAAAGGAUGCCAGAGGACUUGUGGGCUGUGCUUCUAGACAAGAAUAAUCUUAUUUCUACAGGACUCUCACUUUAAAUCUCUCAAGUUACAGUUCUGAUACUCUUAGUUUUAAUAUCAGCUUUUGGUUUUAAUACUCAAGUAAUCUAUGGAUAGAAUCCAUUACAGUUGAAGGCAGAAGUCAGAUUUCCAACAUGAGCUAAUGGCCUGGACAAACGGUUAGCUACUUACACCUUAAAAGCUGAUAAAUUUGGCAAUUUAAUACAGGCUCUCCAUGCUGUGGGCAAUACAGAAUGGUGCUAUAAUCUGUCUGAUAUGUCAUAGGGUAGCAACUCUUUUUUUUUCCACAGAAAGCUAAUCCUUGACAGCAACAAAUUGGAAGUUCCUGGGCUUGCAAAUAAAUGUGGGUAUUUUCAUCAGACCUUCAUAUUUUCUUCAGUAACUGUGAAAUCAAAAGCACUUCUAAAAAUCCAUCGAGAACACUUUGGAGUCGUGGGGAAUAUCCAGGUUGGUCUGCUAGAAUUACUGGAUGGAAGAGACAGUGGAAAAUAAUAGUUGGCCACACUGGUCUCAGGAAAACAGGGCGGAAAUGGGUAAAGCCAUUAUGAAAAUCAAUUUACCCUAGAAACCUGUAACUACAUAGGCUUUUUUUUAUUGUUAUUUCUGAACUCAGAGCUCUGUGUGAUUAAUGGAUCAAACAGUGUAAGCUAGACCUGAAAUGUCUGUUCGAAAAUAUUAUGUUAAAUGCUCCUGCUCAUUUGCAUACUGUCUGCCUGUUAAUAAAGUCACAGGAGAGGAAGAAAGCUGUAGAACUGUCUUAUCUGUACAAAUAACACCUUGCAUUUUGGAAACAGAGUGAUCUGCUUUGGAGGCCUCUGCUGCAGUAUUAGAUGACCACAGAGGACGCUGCUUUCAAAAGCAACACAGCUGAGCCUCCUGCCAGAGCUCUGCUCUGUAGCACUCACAUUUAGUGCUGGACAAACCAACCUAUGAUGUGUUUCCCAUGGUGCUGUGCAACCCCUCUGAGCUCCAGCAAGGAGGAUUUAAAAAGAAAUAGAGCAAAAGACAAGGACAGAUUUAAUGAGGGUUUUUGCUGUGCAAAGUCUAUGGCAUGAGGGCCAAAAUAAUGGGGAAGGAAUAGGUUGGUUUGCACAAGGCAGGCACUGUGCUGCUGCACCACUUCACCCUGCUAAUGCUGUACAAUGGGAUUCUGCUGAAACUCGGAUGUUGGCGAGCUCUGCUCUGGCUUCCUGCACAAAGACAAAUGUUGUGCUACUCUCAAGUAUGCCUGGAAUGUAAUUCUGCUGCCCUGCCAUUCAUUUGUGGUGCCUUUUCACAUUUGUGCUAAUGAGAGUUCUUUUCCAGAACUCCAGAAACACUUGGGUGAUGUUCGCACUGUGAAAUAAACAUUUAUUUGUGGUUUGGAAAGUUUUCCACUGCUUGGUGCUUUUUGCUUUUCAGAGCAAAAUUUUUCAGUGAAUGGGGCUGUGAUCCAGUUCUGACUGCAGAAAGUAAACAGUUUCUCUGCUGUGAAGAUCAGGAGGCACUGGGAACUUCUCAGGAAGCUUCUUUUCCCAAGAGAUCCUCAUUGGUGUUCACAUCACAGCCUCUUCCCAAGGAUGAGGUUCCCCAUCCCUCCCUCAGGUACAGAGCUCGCUGCAUCCUGCCCUCAGCUCCCCAUCAGCCCCGGGCUGAGCACUGGUGACCCUUGUGGCUGUGGUGCUCUUUGCUUACUGUCAUCAAGGUUGGGAAAGACCUCGAGGAUCUCCAAGUCCAAGCAUCAAUCCUAAGCGUUCCUCUUCUCCAUUUCUGAGCCCAGGACUCUCUGGCACCUCAGCCCAGCAGAGCGGAAGCAGCAAUGAUCUGAGAAAAAUAAAGUAUAUUUUGCAGUCAGAGCUUAGGGAGGAAAAGAGAAAUCAGAUGAGGCUUCCUGGAGCUCCACAAUCUCUUGAAAAUAAAUGAACAGAUUGCCAUGAAUGAAUAAACUGCUUCAGACGCUAAUUCACAUUCAGGAGGCCACGGAGCUGAGGGUACCAGUGAAGAUGACAGAAACAUUUCCCUCUGAUUGUUCCUGCAUUGCGCCGUCUCAUUGCUGAAGGUAGCAAACAGAAGAUAGCCGUGCUCUGCACACAAACCGCUCGGCACAGAUGGCUCCGGGUGCGUCUGUCGGCUGCGAGCUCAGUGCACAUUGCUGCCCAUGGAAACUGCAGCACUGCCUCAGGAGAGGAAAAGUGGGGAAAUUCAGUCAGUAGCAACCAAAGGGCAAUGAAUCUCAUGGCCUGCAGGUGAGUGCUCAGGCACCGCACGUGCCAUGGUGGCAAUGGCAGAAGGGAUCGAUGCCCUGUGCCUGUCUCAGCAUGGGGCUGUGCAGUGGGGAUGCCUCAGCCCCAUUGAGCCCUGAGGGAGCAGAGGGGUCCCACUGCCUGUCCCCAGCUGGAUAAAUGUAGCACAGAAAGGUCAGGCUGUCACAGAAUCACAAAUUCAUUCAGGUUGGAGAAGGGCAGUUCUAAACUGUUCCUUAUUUGAUCUGAUGCAGCUCUGGAAAUUGGGUAGUUUGACAGAGCUGGGGUUUUUUAGAUAAGCCAUCUCUAUCAGCAUUUUCAAGUGGUGUUUUGGUAGAUUCCCUGAGACGUCAAAAUGGACAGACUGCAAAAAUCUGUGCAAAAGUAAAAACCUGUUAUGGAAAUCCUUGAGUUAAGCUGCGUUCAGCAGAGCAAUUUAUGAAUAUGCAAUUCAGGCUGUACCUACUGGGCAUGUAGGUUGCCAUUGCUUUUAGCUUUCAUGUGCGGACAGUCUCAUUCAGCAGAAUGACAUUUUGACAUCCAGAAAUGACUAGCUCUCACCACCUAACAACAGAUGAAGUCAAAUUUUGCUACAACUUAUACCUUUGCAGCAGCUAACGCUUCUAUUUGCUUAGAGAUGGUCAAGGAGAGAUGCUCAUUGAUGCAUUUAGUAGAGAAUGCUGAUCACACACCAGUUAAAGUUACCUGUGUGUAAUGGCUUCCAACACCACACAGCUGACAGUGAUGGGAGCUCAGGCACUGACACAGGAGGUGCUCGCCUUGCUGUCUGUAUAAAGCUGACCUUCCAGAGGAACCUUGGAGCUGCUGAGCCUUGUCUUGCAGGGAAUCAUCAAGCAGGAUGUCUACCAAUGGGAAAGCAAGUGCUCACAGAGGAAGCCUGGCUGAAGCAGCAAUGAGUUUUCUGAUGUGCCCUGAAUCAAUUGGUUUCAGCAUUCUCUCAGUAAUUUGGACACCUCGGUGCUGUACAGAAGGCCUGUGAUGUAAUACACCUCAAAUUUGUUAUACUUCACUGGCUCUGCUUCUGGGGAACAGAUAAAAGAACGAGGCAAACCUUGAUGUGAGGAUAUAUCCAAAACAUGGAACUUCGACUCUUGGUGUGAUUUAUAACAGGUCACAGGAGGACCUGCAGUUCAGGUACAGCUGACAUGUCAGAGCCUACAGUUACUUUAGGAAGCACAAAUUCAUCUGAAAUGCUGUGUCAGAGCAUCCUGCUGAGUUCCCUCUCCUGCACAGAAGCUCUACAACAGGCGCACUGCGUUGGAAGCGCCUGUCUCGGGAAAGCAGCCACUGCUACACUAACAUCUCACGUAGUGCUCUGCACUCUUGUUUUAGGAGGAACUGCAUUUGAUUCUGUAAAACAAACGGUCUCCUAAGAGCAUAUUCUGCUGGCAUUGAAGCACAGACAGCAUUCUCCUGUCUGCACUGCCAGGAUCACUCUGCUUGCAGCACACAGAGCCGGUAGAGCCAGGGAAGGAGCCUGGCUGAGCGAGGUGCACCAAGGCCAAAUGCCAUCAGGGCAGAGUGGAGCUGGGGGUCCAUUCCUUGUGCUGUUGGUGUGAAUAGGGCUGCAUGGCCGCUGCUCCCUCCGCUCCAAUAAUAAAGCCUGUUAUGGGAAGGCAGGGAGGGAUCUUUUGGCCAGAUCAGAAGCAUCCACUUUGUCAAACAGCCGCAUGCUAGCUGGCUUAAUGGAAAUUAGCUGUGGCACUGCAGGACAGGAGAAGAUGCCUUUUCAUGAAUAAAUGAAAUGCAUGAGCGAUGCUUCCUUAAAAAAAAGGAUAAAAAUAGAAUCUGAAAUGUGAAGUCUGCAGCAUGCAGGCACGGGAGGUGUGUCCUGACAAAGCUAACAGAGUGCAGUUCUGACAUGGACUGCUUGCACAGGCUUGCCUGGGAGGGAGGGGGUUAGUUCAUGGGUGGGGGAGGGAUCCUGAAUUAACUGAGCAGUCAGUAACCAGAGCUAAUAAGGACACCUUUACCAUCCGUGUGGAGGGUUAUUUCAGUAUGCUGUAUUUGCUUUAGAAGGCACUCGAGGAAUUUUGCAAAUUACAAUGGUCUGUUCAAACUAUUUCUGCCAUUUAAAGAAGAUGUAAAUAAGUCAAAUGACCGUUACAUGCCAUGAUUCUAUGAUUACUUCCUCUGCUUUCUCCCAGAUCUCAGGUCUGGAAGAUGCAGCAGACAUUACGGACUUAGCGAUUGCUCUUUUUUCAGGGGCUCCCCCAGCCCAGUGCAGCCAAACUCAGGACGCUGUGGAGAUGGGGACCCCAGCAGGGGUCAUGGUGAGGUGAGGCAUCAUGCAGCCCAGGGGUGGCCCAGCCCCACUGCCCUGCCAGCUGCUCACCUCCCCUCUACCCACCAGCACAGGCACAGCAGGCUGCCAGCUUCCCACUGCUGUUUCCCCUCCCCAGGCACAGCAGACACACUUCUUCCAUUUUCUUUCUCCACUGCACAUGAUUCAGAGGUCUGUUAUUUCCUUGUUCUCUCCUCUGGCACCCCAGAUGGUUCAGGGAUGGCAAGUAAGCAACACAGAUGCAGGGAAGGCAAGUAAAUACCACAAUUUAAAGAAGUACUUUAAACUGAGAAUGUCCAGAAAUGUAUUCAAGGAAUUGAUCUGUUUUAAAGGCGAAGCAUUGUAAGAACUCCUAGUUUGCAAUAAGUCUCACUGACUCUGCACUUAGCAGGAACAAUUUCCUUCCCUUCCUGCGAGCAAUGUGAUCUGAGCUGCCCUGAAUGGGAAAUCAGUUAGGCUGACAUCUAAAACCUCUUUCUUUGGGGAAAAUGCAGUCUAGGCAGAAUCACAGAAUCUCAACAUCAUUUGAGUUGGAAGGGGCCUUUCAAGGCCCUCUGGUCCCACUCCCUCAGUGCAGAGGGACGCCACAGUUCCAUCAGUGCUCAGAGCCCAUCCCCUGACCUUGGCUGUCUGCAGGGAUGGGGCAGCCCCACCCCUUUGGGGAGCCUUUGCAGUGCCCCACUUCCCUUAGCAUAAAGAACUUUUUCCUUGUAUCUAGUCUAAAUGCAGGCUCCCACCUUAAAGCCAGGACUCGGCAAAAGCUCCAGGACAUUACAGGUGCCCCUAAGUCUCAAAAUUCCCACUGGUAUUCCACUGAAACUCCUGUAGGUGCACAGAACUCUGUUGUCUCCCUCUAGCCUGUGUUGCUCAGCCAAGUGUGACAUUACAGGAGCUCAGGCUUUGUGCCCACACCCAAAUUCCAGGUAAGAGCUCAGCCCUGAGCACAGGAUGUGCUGUUUCCAACCCGCUUCACCGAGCUGUGAACAUCAAAUACUGCUGAUGCUGAAAGUAGAAUUUAGUUGUAAAGCUGACCUCAACUUCAUGGAAGAAAAAUCUACUGGAGAAUACUACAUGCUGAUAACAUCAGUGCAGCUCUGGCCUCACUGCCCUCCCAGACACACUGCUGGAGGCUGGGAUGUGCUCAUGUGUUACUGUCCUGGCCCAUCUCAGGCUGCAGGCCCAGCAGUGCAGGGGACAGCUCUGGCUGCUGCAGCUCUGCUCCCUCUGGCUCUCACGCAGAGACCAAAGACCUGUUGGGUGUAUUUCUGGGAAAGCAUUGUCCAGCUCCUCUCACUGCAGCCCAACCCCGGCACCUAUAAUCUCCCUCACCUCUACUCCCCCACCAAGCUGAGACCAAACAGCAGAGCAAUACUGUUAUUACAAGAAGCAAUUACAUUCACUCCUCUGAAGUUCCUCAUCGCUUGUCUCCCAGCACACACUGAUGCUGAGAAGAUAUCAAGCUCUCAGAAUAUUCUUUUUAACUUUCAAAGCUUUCAAUCUUUAAAUACAUCAUUGUCUUUAUCUCCUAAGACCUCUCGGUGUGAUAGUCUUGGUUUUCAAAGCGAGACAUGAGGAAUUCCUGGGCAGGGCCAAUUACCUAACUGCAUCUUCCCCACUCUUUUCAAUAGUUGAUAGCAAAAGCAGCUUUAUCCACAGAGCCAUGCUGUUACUGUGCUGUACUGCACACAACAAAGAUACUGGAGGUAAUUCAGAGAGAUAAUACAAAAAUAUAGAAUGCUGGCAAUCUGGACAAGUCUUUUUUGAGUACAUAAGGAAAAGAAAAAACAACAAAGUUAAGAAGAAAUAAGAAUGGAAGCAUAACUGAGACUAGAAGAAGGACAAACACUGCGGCUGUUUACCAAACAGAUAGAAGAGAAUUGCUACACUCCUGGCCAUCCCAGCCAGACAGUGCACCUCACAGCUGCUUACUGGGUGUGCCUUUGUGAGGUUGCACUCCAAUGGGAUUGCUGAGAUAAACCACCAACAGUAAUAAUAAUAAUUAAUAAUAGUAAUUUCUUUUUAAUCCAUAUCUAUCAGUAGAUCUAUAACUUACUGCACUAGUGACAUGGCGGAGGAGGAGUGGGUGUUAAGAGGUGAAUCAGGGAGAAGGAGGAGGGCUGUAGAGAAGCUCUGCCAGCAGGAAGCAUUUGUACGAAGUCAGCUCCGAAUGGGGUAACCACGUUCUUCCAAUGGCCAGGUCUGCAAGCUCAGGACAAAAAGAGGAAAUCCCCACCAGCAUGGUCAUUCUCGCCUCUGGUCAGACACAGGUUCCUCUUUUCUAUCUAAGUGCAAAUGCUCAUCAGGAAAAUGCAAAACUGUUCUGAAAAUCACAUAUUUUCUCUGACAUCACCUUUCUGGAGUAUGAGCUCAUAAGUGCAGAAGGUGGCACCAUGCUUCGAGAGAGCUGUUCUUUCUGUGGGCAUAUCUUGGUUUUAUGACAUCUGAAUGACCGGGUCCUUACUGUACUCUUCAGCACAUGUAAUAUCAUUACGCCUUGCAAUUUAAUAUCUUAUUAAAGAUAUCAGGGUCACGGUUCCCAGUAAGUGCUGCUUGCAUUUUUUUUCCCUUAAAUAUAUUAAGAUUAAAUUCAAUUGAAAUUAAAACAAUAUAAAAGUUACUAAAAAAAUCCCUAUAAAUGGAGUCUGAAUUUCUAUGGCUAUUACCUCAUUUUACACUUCAGACUUAUCUUUGGGUGACAGGAAGCCAAAAUUCUGAAAUGGUUUAAUUAGACUGAAAAUUAUAUUUAAUAAAGUUCUGCUGAAGAAAUACAAGUAAAUGCUAUUAACUUCCCUGAGAAUUGGAUGUGAAGAGUGAGAACAGGACCCUGCAGUUAUAGAGAGAAGGGCCUCACAGCAAGAAAAGGGAAAGUAGCUUCACAAAGUAGAAAUAAGGGGCAAAUAGAGACAGUUUAUGUAGAGAGUGUUAGAAAACAAGGGAUUCGCACUUUCGCAGACACCAGGUCUGGAGUAACAAGGAGGAUGAAGGCCAUAAAGAUAAGGACUGGAGAGCAGCUUGAAAACAUUUGGCGGGGGGGUGAUUAGAUGUCUACAGGCAAGCUGCAACCGGUUUGGGGGAUGCCCCCCCCUUCAGGAUCAGAAGAUUGCAGUGAGGAAGACUACAAGCCUUCGUGAGGAAGACUACGAGCCUUCAUCAUCAUGACCUGCUACGCACGC
ensembl:lncRNA